rnacentral:sRNA from 1 species
AAAUAACCGGGAGACAAGCUUUCGGAGGCUUUUGACUGACUGGAUGUGGGAAUGUUGUGGAAGACUUCUGGCCUGCCAUUUCCUGAGAACGGGACUGCUGAGAGAGGAGCUGGGAGGAGCACUGCAAAUUUCACUUUGGACACAGCCUGGCAGAGAGCAGGUGUGUGAUACAUGUCGUCAGGUGACUGACCGAGGAAUUCAGGGCAAACAGAUCAUCUCAAUUUGCCUUGCUGAUGUGCCAGCUGGGAUUACGCUGAUGGAUGAAGCUCUUCAGAGCUAUGGGCAAUAUCUACAUAUUUGAUUGUCAAGAAACUUCGUGUGGAAAUAGCUUCAAACUUACACAAAUUGCAAGAAUAAAAAAUAGUAUAAGGAUAUUCGUACACACUCUCUUUACUCAGAUUCACCUGUUAAUAUUUUGCUCCAUUUGCUCUCUAUGUGUGCAGAGUAUGUUUUUUGUUCUGAACCAUUUGAGAAGUUGCAUCUAUCCUGGUCCUCUACUUCUAAAUACUUCAGUGUGUAUUACCUAAGAAUUGGAAUUAAUCAGUUAUCACUGAUACUUUAACCUACUGUCCAUAUUCCAACUUUGUCAUUUUACCCAGUAACGUCUUUUUAAA